GAGGAUAUAGCUCAAGCGCUUAGAGCACAUGCCUGGCAUGCAUGAAGUCGUGGGUUGAAUCCCCAGUACCUCU
rnacentral:tRNA from 1 species